rnacentral:rRNA from 1 species
UCCUUCGGGAGGCAGCAGUCAGGAAUAUUGCGCAAUGGAGGAAACUCUGACGCAGCGACGCCGCGUGGGUGAUGAAGGCCUUCGGGUCGUAAAGCCCUGUCGGAGGGGAAAGAAAAAGUCUGCUGGCUAAUAUCCAGGCGACUCUUGACGGUACCUUCAAAGGAAGCACCGGCUAACUACGUGCCAGCAGCCGCGGUA